rnacentral:lncRNA from 1 species
GGGCAGCAUCCACCCACGAUAAACCUUUCCGCGCCCCUAGCAGCAAUGCACGCCUAGCCCUGAGCACCAAUAAGGAUGCUCAGGCAGGACCCGGAUGGCGAGGCGGGGACCUUGGUAGCGGCGCCACUGGCUGCGGCUGCAGAGUGAGAACAAGCAAACGCCCCCCACCGGCAGGGUGGAAGGAAAAUGGAGUGCGUUGGCGCUGCGGAGGAGUCACUGCGGUGAGGAUGGCCCGGACACCAAUUUGGGCACCCGCAGGCGCAGCUAGCCGGUGGGGCGCACCUGGGUCUCCUCCGGCUUCCGCGGGAUAUCUGCAGGGCGACUCCCUCCAGAUUCAGUAAACGUCCUGCUGGGGGAGUCCUUCCCCUGCAAAAGGCCCGCCCCUGCCUCCCAUGUCGUGGAGUUCGAGGCAGGGUCCCUGAAAGGGUCUUGGGGUGGGAGGAGUCCUGUGAGAUCACCGAAUGAGUCAGGGUCUGGCCUGGGUCCCAGGCCCAGGGGUCCCGAGGCCCUGGGGCAGCUGGGUAGCUCUGCUGGCCGCCCUGUGCGGGGACUCUCUACCUAUGCAGGUCUGGUCGGACCUGGAGGCAGCGGGUUCUGCUGCUGCGAAGAUUCCCAACGGCCGGUUGGGGAGGGGCUGCACAAUCCUGGACCUCGCGGGAGUACAGGACCCGCAAAGGCAGGGGAGUCGGAUCAUGUGCCAAGAGCAUCCCGGGGUCCCGGCUGCUGGCUUGGCUGCCCUGGUCAUCGCUGCGGUUAUGUGCCGUUGCUACCGCAGAGCAAGCGGCCCCGGUUCUUGAACCACACCUGCACUUGAUGGUCCUGCAAGUUGAGUCUGACAGCCAGGGCCCCCGCUCCUUGUGGGCUGUUACCUGCUCUUUCCAGCCUGUCUCCAGCUCCGGCGGCUUUCCCUUACUGUAGACUGCACUUCCUGCCGCCGCCUCCUGGGAGAGCGUGGGAUGGUGGGGGAUAACUAGGUUCUGGCAUCCUCACUCCUCCUGCCCACAAGCGAUGGGAUUUAAAUCGCACUGUCCAUGCUGUGCUCAUCGAGGCCCACCCUGCUUUUACUAGGACCCUCCCUGCAGUCCCCACUCCCUCCUUCCCACGAGUCUUGCAGUCAUGGAUUAAUCCCUUCAUUAUUGACCAGCUGCUGCAGGCAGGCCCUGUGUCGUCCUGUAUCACUUUAACGUGACCUCAUUAGUCUUUGAUUUCUCCUUCACUUUCUGGUACAAUAAGAGACUUGUAUCCAGUCUCCUUUUGUACAUUUUUUGCCCUAGACUUAGAAUCAGCCAAUUUCAUUGGUAAAUGUUAUCUAGAGAGUUCAGCCGUGGAAGUGUGCUCAUUGUUACUGGGUUUUCAUUGCUUCUGGGUCUUUUCAGUGGACAGAACUAGAAAAUAUGUAUUUUUUAAAGAGUAAAACACAAUGUGAGUUCAUACUGCAAUUUCCAAUUCACUUUUAAGAUUACAAGAUUUUUACUUAAACUUCCUUGAUUUUAUGCUAUGUCAUUUUUAUACUGAAAAUUAUGGUUCCUAAUGAUGGAAACAUAGUAAUUUAAUAAAAAUGUCAAUACUAAUAUAUGGCUACUGAAUGCCAUUUAUGAUUUCUUUCCUUUUUUCUUUUCCUUUUUUUUAUUGUCCAUAGCAUAUCUCUCACUUGGGAUGUAUAGUCAAAAUGCUGCGUUUUAAAGCCACUUUAAGUAAUUGUUUGCUUUAUGUGGUUAUGCCACACACUUUAUAUGCAGGAAGACUCAUUCAUUUCAGUUUACUUUAAUUUUUAAAAAUCACAUAAAACACUUAUCGUCCUCCCAAACUCUCUAUUUAUCCAGUUACAGUCACAGAAAUCUUGCUUCUGUAACUUCCCGUUCACCCUGUUUCUUUUUCUUCCCAAUAGAUAACCAUUAAAACAGUUUGGUUUUGGGUUUAUCUGCCCAUGGUUUCUUUUGAUAAUAUCAAUUAAUAUCUAUCUAUGCACUGUGAACUGAAUUGUAUUUCCCCAAAAUUGAUAUGUUGAGGUGCUAAGCCCCAGUGUGAUGGUAUUAGGAGGUGGGGCCUUCAGGAGGUGAUUGGGGUUAGAUGAGGUCAUAAGGGUGGGGCCCUCAUGUUGGGAUUAGUGUCCUUAUAAGAAGGGACACCAGAGAGCCUGCUUGUUCUCUCUCUUCACCAUGCGAGGGCACAGUGAGCUGUCUGCAAGCCAGGGAGAGAGCCCUCAUCCAGGAACAGAAUCCACUGGCAGCUUGAUCUUGGACUUUCAGCUUCCUGGAGUGUGAGAAAUAAAUUCUUGUUGUUUAGGUUA